CCCUACAUAUGUUUGUAUUGAAUGAGUCUAGGGUCAGGGCAUUUUUGUACUUUCCUCUUUCCCUCUGAAAUGUAAAUACAUUUCUUCAUGUGAUGACCGAUUUACUUCAAUCCACAAAGCACAGAUUGGAUGUGUCAUAAAAUAGCUAAAUCCCAGCUGGGUGGUCCCAGCAUGGAGCAUUUACACAGUUCUUCAGAAACAGCUCUUCUUGCUUCGUGACUCAUUGUGAGUAUGAAGAGCACCUCCUUACUCCAGGCUGAGGACAAAGCAUACUGCCUGGUCACCAACUGUUAUGAAGAGGGACACGUGACUGUGUUGGUGACAACGGAGGUUGAAAAAAACAGUGGGCUUGAGCUCAAGGAGUGGUAGCUGGUAAAUUUGUUCUGGGAAAUUCUGCAGACACAAGAUUUUGGUGCAGAUGGUUCGGGAGGGAACUCCCAAAAUGUCUUGUUUUAUAAAGAGUUUUAGGAAAUCUUCCUCCUUUUUUUAAAAAAAAAAUAAAAUUAUUUAUUUAUUUAUUUUUGUUAUUACAAAUUUGUGUGAGACUCAAAUACAUAUAAUGCACACUUGGAGGAAUUAGUUAUCACAGCAUUGUACCCUAACUUCAGCCUGUUGCUACACAUAAAAUGCUGAACAAUGUAAGAGGAAGUGAGGAAAAAGACCUGGUGCUGCUGGGUUUUGAAAUGCUAUAAAAACG